rnacentral:rRNA from 1 species
GACGAACGCUGGCGGCGUGCCUAAUACAUGCAAGUAGAACGCUGAAGGAAGGAGCUUGCUCUUUCUGGAUGAGUUGCGAACGGGUGAGUAACGCGUAGGUAACCUGCCUGGUAGCGGGGGAUCACUAUUGGAAACGAUAGCUAAUACCGCAUAAAAUUGAUUAUUGCAUGAUAGUCAAUUAAAAGGUGCAACUGCACCACUACCAGAUGGACCUGCGUUGUAUUAGCUAGUUGGUGGGGUAACGGCUCACCAAGGCGACGAUACAUAGCCGACCUGAGAGGGUGAUCGGCCACACUGGGACUGAGACACGGCCCAGACUCCUACGGGAGGCAGCAGUAGGGAAUCUUCGGCAAUGGACGGAAGUCUGACCGAGCAACGCCGCGGGAGUGAAGAAGGUUUUCGGAUCGUAAAGCUCUGUUGUAAGGGAAGAACGAGUGUGAGAGUGGAAAGUUCACACUGUGACGGUAUCUUACCAGAAAGGGACGGCUAACUACGUG